UGGGUUAUCGUUCAAUUGGCAGGACAUCGGAUUCUGGCUCCGAGAAUCAAGGUUCGAGUCCUUGUAACCCAGCCA
rnacentral:tRNA from 1 species